CACAGAACACAAAUAACAGUAAAACUCGACCCGUGAUCCAUGAACAGAGAUGUCAGAUUUCAGAUUGAAGGUACUGGACCAGAUCAACAACUGCCAUUGAGAUGAGUGGAGAUGUGAACACAAUCUUACACCACCGGUCCAAAGUUUUUGAACUGACACAGACGGAGGCAGAGAGUUAAGUGAACACAGAUGUUGUUUAUUAGACAGAGGCACAAACACAGGUGAAGGGAUCAAUGUGGAACGGAGAACAGGAGACGGAGGACGAGAUGGAGACACGGGAAACUCGGGUGAGUAGCGGGUAGGGCUGCACGAUUAAUCGUAUUUUAAUCUCAAUAACGAUAUCUGCUUCUCUUGAUUGAUUACAAAUAAUCGUCACGAUAUUGGCCCGCUCAUUAUUUAUCCUGAAAACGUGUUUUUCUUUGGGAGAUGCAAAGAGCUU